GCCCCGAGGAGGAGGCCCGGCGAGCGGCCGCGGAGGGAGGCUGGUGGCAUGGGGGAGCCGUCUCCACACACACGGUCGUCCCGAGCGAGCCCGGGCGCUGCUCAGAACACUUGAGGGCCGCGGGCGCCUCGGAGGGCGCCUCCGGGAGUGACACGGCGCGGAGGGCGCGGCCCCGGCUGCGGCGGCUGGACGCGCGGCGGCGGCGGCUGCAGCGGGGGGAGCGGGCGGGCGGCGGCGCCGGGAGCUGCGUGCGGAGCCGCCCGGGCGGCAAGGGCGCACCUGGCUGCGGCGCGGCCGGGCCCGACCGCGGGAGCAGGAGCAGGCGGCAGCGGCAGGAGGAUGUCGCAGCCGCCGCUGUUGCCCGCCUCGGCGGAGACUCGGAAGUUCACCCGGGCACUGAGUAAGCCGGGCACGGCGGCCGAGCUGCGGCAGAGCGUGUCGGAGGUGGUACGCGGCUCGGUGCUCCUGGUGAGUGCGGGGCGACCGGGGAC
rnacentral:lncRNA from 1 species